rnacentral:rRNA from 1 species
UUGCGUAGGUGGUCUGUUAAGUGAAUAGUGAAAUCUGGGGGGCUCAACCUCACAGACUAUUACUCAAACUGGCAGACUCGAGAAUGGUAGAGGUAACUGGAAUUUCUAGUGUAGGAGUGAAAUCCGUAGAUAUUAGAAGGAACACCAAUGGCGUAGGCAGGUUACUGGACCAUUUCUGACACUGAGGCACGAAAGCGUGGGGAGCGAACG